CGAUGGAUAACAGGUUGAUAUUCCUGUACCACCUAUAAUCGUUUUAAUCGAUGGGGGGACGCAGUAGGAUAGGCGAAGCGUGCGAUUGGAUUGCACGUCUAAGCAGUAAGGCUGAGUAUUAGGCAAAUCCGGUACUCGUUAAGGCUGAGCUGUGAUGGGGAGAAGACAUUGUGUCUUCGAGUCGUUGAUUUCACACUGCCGAGAAAAGCCUCUAGAUAGAAAAUAGGUGCCCGUACCGCAAACCGACACAGGUAGUCAAGAUGAGAAUUCUAAGGUGAGCGAGCGAACUCUCG
rnacentral:rRNA from 1 species